AACGCACCUUGCGCUCCUUGGUAUUCCGAGGAGCACGCCUGUUCGAGUGUCGUGAAGUUUCUCAAGCUUGGAUGCUUUUUGUUUGACGAAAAUGCUCUUGGCUUGGUAUUGGGCUUUGCCGUGUCCCCAUUCUUUUGGGAACGGCUGGUCUUAAAGGUAUUAGCUUGACCCCUGAUGGUGGCAUUGGUUCUACUCAGCGUGAUAAAUAAUCUGACCGCUGAGGACAUCUUUCGGGAUGGCCAGUUCUAGUUGGGGGUUGCUCUCUAAUCCGGUUAACAGGAUCUCCUCAGAUCCUGCUGCACUUUCAAUUUUGACCUCGAAUCAGGUGGGACUACCCGCUGAACUUAA
rnacentral:misc_RNA from 1 species